rnacentral:rRNA from 1 species
UACGUAGGGGGCAAGCGUUGUCCGGAAUUAUUGGGCGUAAAGCGCGCGCAGGCGGUCAAUUAAGUCUGGUGUAUAAACCAAGGGCUCAACCUUUGGACGCAUUGGAAACUGGUUGACUGGAGUGUAGGAGAGGAAAGUGGAAUUCCACGUGUAGCGGUGAAAUGCGUAGAGAUGUGGAGGAACACCAGUGGCGAAGGCGACUUUCUGGCCUAUAACUGACGCUGAGGCGCGAAGGCGUGGGGAGCAAACAGG